rnacentral:rRNA from 1 species
AUUGAACGCUGGCGGAAUGCUUUACACAUGCAAGUCGAACGGCAGCACGGACUUCGGUCUGGUGGCGAGUGGCGAACGGGUGAGUAAUAUAUCGGAACGUAUCCAAUAAUGGGGGAUAACUAAUCGAAAGGUUGGCUAAUACCGCAUACGUCCUACGGGAGAAAGCUAGGGACCUUCGGGCCUGGCGUUAAUGGAGCGGCCGAUAUCGGAUUAGCUAGUUGGUGAGGUAAAGGCUCACCAAGGCGACGAUCCGUAGCUGGUCUGAGAGGACGGCCAGCCAAACUGGAACUGAGACACGGUCCAGACUCCUACGGGAGGCAGCAGUGGGGAAUUUUGGACAAUGGGCGAAAGCCUGAUCCAGCAAUUCCGCGUGAGUGAAGACGGCCUUCGGGUUGUAAAGCUCUUUCGCGAGAGAAGAAAACUUACCCUCUAACAUAGGGUGAGGUUGACGGUAUCUUGAUAAGAAGCACCGGCUAACUACGUGCCAGCAGCCGCCGUAA